GAUGAACGCUAGCGGCAGGCUUAACACAUGCAAGUCGAGGGGUAUAGUUCUUCGGAGCUAGAGACCGGCGCACGGGUGCGUAACGCGUAUGCAAUCUACCUUUUGCAGAGGGAUAGCCCAGAGAAAUUUGGAUUAAUACCUCAUGGUAUGUGAGAAUGGCAUCAUUUUCACAUUAAAGUCACAACGGCAAAAGAUGAGCAUGCGUCCCAUUAGCUAGUUGGUAAGGUAACGGCUUACCAAGGCAACGAUGGGUAGGGGUCCUGAGAGGGAGACCCCCCACACUGGUAAUGAGACACGGACCAGACUCCUACGGGAGGCAGCAGUGAGGAAUAUUGGACAAUGGGCGCAAGCCUGAUCCAGCCAUGCCGCGUGCAGGAUGACGGUCCUAUGGAUUGUAAACUGCUUUUGUACAGGAAGAAACACUGGUUCGUGAACCAGCUUGACGGUACUGUAAGAAUAAGGAUCGGCUAACUCCGUGCCAGCAGCCGCCGUAAAAC
rnacentral:rRNA from 1 species